GGUCUAUCCGCCAUUAACGAGAUCGUUUGAGCUCGAAAAUUGCCUUGGCUGAUGGGGGGAUUGUUCUGGUGCGGUGGGGGGAGCACGUGCACUCGUGAGGAUGGGCUCUAAUUGUGCACGUGUAAAGUGGGGGCACUAUUAGGCAAUUGGCUGGGGUGUUGGGUCCACCAUAUGUGGUGGGUCAACACUCAGCCUAAAAUGCAAAGGUAGACUCGGCUCCGUGGACCGUGCAGUGCAAAAAGAGUAGCAUUUUUUUUUUUUAAAGAGUGGGGCAGCCGCAUGUGAUGGGGCGCGGGCCCCAAAGGAAGUGGGCCUUAUGGGACCGUUUGGACAUCGUUUACGAGGCGGCCGCGUGGUGGUCCCCAUUGGUUGGUUCGGUGGUCCGAUCGAGAGCAGAGCAGUGGGGAAGUAAUGCUUGAGGUAGAGAAGGAGAAGGGGACACGUAUCCUGUGUUUAUCUGUCGAUGUGGGGCCGACCCUUUUGUAUCUUGGAGGUAGGGUCCUUUUUUAUGUGGGCCUUGAUUUGCAAAAGGAAAACGGGUUGGUGAUGAGGAUGAUGAUGUUGGGCAUUGGAUGCUGCUGCCUUUACUUGUCUUGGAAUAUUAGAGUUGGGUUACAACCAAAUGUAUAUGUAGCCUGUAACAUGUUAGCUCUCCUCUUUGACUCAGUUAUUAGUCAAUUGAAUUCCAACAUCUCAGUCUUUGAUGGUUUGUGAAGUCUAGUUUCAUCAAAUGGUGGGUCCUUGGUCCCACCACAACCACCCCCAGUUUCGCUCUUUAUUAUUAUUAUUAUUAUUAUUA
rnacentral:misc_RNA from 1 species